CUCUCUCUCUCUCUCUCUCUCAUAUUAAUGUGGAGUGUGUGCUUGUAUAUUGCAACAGCAGAAAACGAUAGAUAGGAAGCUUAAGAAAAGCAAAUAAAUCUAAAGUGGUUCUACAUGUACAUGCAUAUGAUGGAGGUGGCUUCCGUUCUUUUAUAAGAAUCAUUUCUAUCACAUGAGACUUGUAUAUUAUUAUAAGCAAGGAUCAAUGUAUCUCCACUCAUUUAUAGAGCUCUAGUUAGAAGUGGAAUUCGCUAGGAUUACUUACUAAACUCAAAAUUGAAUUCUUCUAUUCGGGUACUUUCUAACAGUUUAUCUUAUAACAGGAUCUCGUUGUUACUUUUUUUGGAGCAGAGUUACCAAAGUGGGUCCUCCCUUUUGAAAAAGGUUUUAUAUCUUUUAGGGCUUCUAAGGACUUGUGUCGCCGGUUUCUUGGAUUCAUUCUCUGUGUUGUUCAUAGUACUGAUGAACAGGAUCAUGGGUCACGAUCAUACUACAUGGAAUUUGAAGUUAAUGGCCAAAUGAAGCUGUUAAAGUAUCAGGUGGAGUUGCGAAAAAGUGUGGAUUCCGAAUAAUUUGCAAGCCACUAGAGGAAGAUUUAAAAGUUAAGCUUCAAGAUCUAAUGGAUCCAGCUUUACUCUGUGAGUUUGGUCAUGAAUCAACAAAUUUGGAAGCCAUGGUUCCACUUAUGCAUGGAACGAUCAAAACAGAUAUACAGAACGACUUGCAAGAUUGUCCAGCGAUGCCACUUUCAGCGUCGUGACAACUUGUCUCCCAUCUGACAACACCGAGCUCUGAUGGAUGUAAGAUCGCCACCUACCAACGAUGGAGGCGACGAAGAGAAGAAGUUUGUGUCCCUGAAACAGAGUCCCUAGUGAACCGACGGCGAUGGAGACUGGAGAGCAGAGGCGAUGGACUACCACCGCCGACCGAGGCCAUGGAAACUGAUGACUUGAAGGAUGUGUAGCUGAGGUUCUGGGCUUCAUGCAGCUUGCUGAAGAUCAGAGCUUUCGUUGGACAGCCUUGAAGUUUCGGGUGGGUAAGAUGCUGGUUUUCAGUAACCGGGUGCAUUUCAGAUAUGUUACUUCAUUUUCUAAUUAAGAUGAUUAGUGUUUCAGUCUUAAGUAGUGAACGAUUUCAGAUUGUACUUUUUGAUUGAAGAGCUGUGUAAUUGUUGAGGAUGGUAGCGUUGUUGUGGCAGCAAGAAACUUGACUAAUGAGAUACAUGAUGUAUAUUUAUCAUUGCUUCUCC